rnacentral:rRNA from 1 species
GAUGAACGCUAGCGACAGGCUUAACACAUGCAAGUCGAGGGGCAUCACGGGUAGCAAUAUCUGGUGGCGACCGGCGAACGGGUGAGUAACGCGUAUGCAACCUACUUGUAAACGGGAGACAACCUGGAGAAAUUUGGGCUAAACUUCCAUGAGGCAUUAUUACUGCAUGGUAAUGAUGUCAAACGUAAGGUUUACAAAUGGGCAUGCGUAUGAUUAGCUAGUUGGUAGGGUAACGGCCUACCAAGGCUACGAUGUUUAGGGGACCUGAGAGGGUGAUCCCCCACACUGGUACUGAGACACGGACCAGACUCCUACGGGAGGCAGCAGUGAGGAAUAUUGGUCAAUGGGCGAAGCCUGAACCAGCCAUCCCGCGUGCAGGAAGACGGCCCUAUGGGUUGUAAAGCCCUUUUGUCCGGAAAGAAAAGCACGGGAUUAAUACCCUCGUGUGAUGACGGUACCGGAAGAAUAAGCAACCGGCUAACUACGUGCCAGCAGCCGCGGUAAUAUCACGUG